rnacentral:rRNA from 1 species
CCUACGGGUGGCAGCAGUGAGGAAUAUUGGUCAAUGGCCGUAAGGCUGAACCAGCCAAGUCGCGUGAGGGAAGAAGGAUCUAUGGUUUGUAAACCUCUUUUAUAGGGGAAUAAAGGUAUCCACGUGUGGAUAUUUGCAUGUACCUUAUGAAUAAGCAUCGGCUAACUCCGUGCCAGCAGCCGCGGUAAUACGGAGGAUGCGAGCGUUAUCCGGAUUUAUUGGGUUUAAAGGGUGCGUAGGCUGUUUUUUAAGUCAGCGGUUAAAGUUUGUGGCUUAACCUUAAAAUUGCCGUUAAAACUGGAGUACUAGAGUAUGUUUGAGGUAGGCGGAAUGCGUUGAGUAGCGGUGAAAUGCAUAGAUAUAACGCAGAACCCCGAUAGCGAAGGCAGCUUACUAGGCCAUAACUGACACUGAAGCACGAGAGCGUGGGGAGCAAACAGGAUUAGAUACCCGUGUAGUC